rnacentral:rRNA from 1 species
UACAGAGGGUGCGAGCGUUAAUCGGAAUUACUGGGCGUAAAGCGUGCGUAGACGGUUAUUUAAGUCGGGGGUGAAAGCCCCGGGCUCAACCUGGGAAUUGCAUUCGAUACUGGAUAGCUAGAGUUCGGCAGAGGGAAGCGGAAUUUCCGGUGUAGCGGUGAAAUGCGUAGAUAUCGGAAGGAACAUCAGUGGCGAAAGCGGCUUCCUGGACCAGAACUGACGAUCAGGCACGAAAGCGUGGGGAGCAAACAGG